rnacentral:tRNA from 1 species
GCCGUCCUGGCCCAAUUGGUAGAGGUGCCCGGCUUAGAACCGGGAGGUUCAGGGUUCGAAUCCCUGGGACGGUA